UACGUAGGGUGCGAGCGUUGUCCGGAAUUACUGGGCGUAAAGAGCUCGUAGGUGGUUUGUCGCGUUGUUCGUGAAAACCGGGGGCUUAACCCUCGGCGUGCGGGCGAUACGGGCAGACUUGAGUACUGCAGGGGAGACUGGAAUUCCUGGUGUAGCGGUGAAAUGCGUAGAUAUCAGGAGGAACACCGGUGGCGAAGGCGGCUCUCUGGACGGUGACUGACGCUGAGGCGCGAAAGCGUGGGUAGCAAACAGG
rnacentral:rRNA from 1 species